GGUUGUGUGGGGUAGUGGUUAUCCCUCCGGAUUGUAUGUACCAAUGAUUCCUCUUUUCACCACACGUCUUUCUAACCUUCACUCUAGUUGAUUGCAUAGUCAAGAAAAGUUCCGGCAACCCCGGUUCGAACCCGGGCACGACCU